AGGGCUUCGCAGGCGGUUUCUUAAGUCUGAUGUGAAAGCCCCCGGCUCAACCGGGGAGGGUCAUUGGAAACUGGGGAACUUGAGUGCAGAAGAGGAGAGUGGAAUUCCACGUGUAGCGGUGAAAUGCGUAGAGAUGUGGAGGAACACCAGUGGCGAAGGCGACUCUCUGGUCUGUAACUGACGCUGAGGAGCGAAAGCGUGGGGAGCGAACAGGAUUAGAUACCCUGGUAGUCCACGCCGUAAACGAUGAGUGCUAAGUGUUAGGGGGUUUCCGCCCCUUAGUGCUGCAGCUAACGCAUUAAGCACUCCGCCUGGGGAGUACGGUCGCAAGACUGAAACUCAAAGGAAUUGACGGGGGCCCGCACAAGCGGUGGAGCAUGUGGUUUAAUUCGAAGCAACGCGAAGAACCUUACCAGGUCUUGACAUGCUCUGACAAUCCUAGAGAUAGGACGUCCCCUUCGGGGGCAGAGUGACAGGUGGUGCAUGGUUGUCGUCAGCUCGUGUCGUGAGAUGUUGGGUUAAGUCCCGCAACGAGCGCAACCCUUGAUCUUAGUUGCCAGCAUUCAGUUGGGCACUCUAAGGUGACUGCCGGUGACAAACCGGAGGAAGGUGGGGAUGACGUCAAAUCAUCAUGCCCCUUAUGACCUGGGCUACACACGUGCUACAAUGGACAGAAC
rnacentral:rRNA from 1 species